CCAAUCAGGAGUCAGGUAUUUACUGUAGCUUGUUGUAUCCAAUCAGAUUGCUGACAAGCUGGGUUACAGGGGUUGAUUAUAUUUAACCAGCAGUUCUACUAAAUGGCCACACGAUGGCAGCAUUGUAUAAGAAAUGAAAGAUAAAGCCUGGUCUGUCUCUUGAAGUUCAUUACCUGCACUACCCAUUGCAAACAGCAGAGGGCACCACAAUCGCUUGACAGAGCCGCACCGAAUUAAUGAGAUCGACCGGGGGCGUGUCGUGUGAAACAAGUAUAUUUAAUGUUAGUUUGUUGAAGAACAAAGCCACGCUUUUGCUACUGUUUUGCAAAUAUUACAGAUGGUAACCCGUGGUGACUGGAUCUAUGGAAGGGUGCUGAUAUUUUUGCCAUUGUAUUUUUGGUUGGCAAAUCACGUUUUAAGCCUAAAAAUCUUUGACUCAAGAUCUUUUGUAAAAAAUGACUUUGCAAUGUGUGUUUUUGUUUGCUUUAACAUCUCAGUGAUUUUGAAUAAAAACCCAUUUUACUGUC